CCGGGGUGAGUAAUGUCUGGGAAACUGCCCGAUGGAGGGGGGUAACUACUGGAAACGGUAGCUAAUACCGCAUAACGUCGCAAGACCAAAGAGGGGGACCUUAGGGCCUCUUGCCAUCGGAUGUGCCCAGAUGGGAUUAGCUAGUAGGUGGGGUAAUGGCUCACCUAGGCGACGAUCCCUAGCUGGUCUGAGAGGAUGAUCAGCCACACUGGAACUGAGACACGGUCCAG
rnacentral:rRNA from 1 species